ACCCUCUCCUUGGGUUUCUGCAUUCCAGAGCCAUCUUCUCCCCUUGGGGGCUCCUUCUCCUUGGGGAGCCUUUUCUCCUCUUUUAGAGAGUUUUCUUUUGCUACUUAGUAGGUUUCUCCCACAACAGGUGGGUCUUCUUCCACAGUAGGUGAAUUUUCUUCCACAAUAGGUGGAUUUAUUACCCAAAUAAGUGGAUUUUUGUGUUUGUGUUUCAUCCCUUCCCUCUAGCCACCAUGCUCCUCCGUCCUCGCUGCCCCCUUCCUCCACCAUGGCCGCCUUGCCACUGCCGACAUCUCCUCUGUGACCAUCCUUGCAUCCACCCUCACCAUCCUUGUCUCCCUCUGUUCUGAUUUGCGUUUAGUGUGGUUCUGCUUCAGAUCUGCAGUUGUUCUUUUUCAGGAUCCCAAUGUCUUCAGAUUGACUCCCCACAGUGAUGUUGGAGCCACGAUCUAGGCUCCCAUGAAGGUCAUUCAGAGCGAAGCAACCCCGACAGAGUCGGUGGAGUUGCGAGAAGUCGGGCGGGUUCUUAAAGUGGAAUAUUAACACUGCUCAUAAAGUCAGUUUGACUCAUUGGUGAUUUUUGGAAUUUUGAAUAUCUUGCAGGUGCCCAAGCUCCAGAUCUAGCACUAUAUGAUGUUGUGUGGUUGGUUCUACAAAAGUUUUUCCCAUCUCCUUAUACUCAGAGUUGCUGUUUUGACCCCUUGUGGUGCUGUGUUCACCAAUACAAUACAACUCCGGCAGAGCCGUUUCGUAGUAGGAAGGGAGCACCGGUUAAAUAUGUUUUUGUGCCUUCUUUGCUUAGAAGUCAUGGAGCUAUCUGUUUUUUGGGCUUGAGGGGCUUUUGUUUAACUCUAGGGUUUUUGGGUUUUUUACUCCAUGUUUUAACUGGUUGUUCUCAGCUGAGUGUAGACAUGUUGUUCUUAAUUUUCUUAUGCUUUUGUGUAUUGUAGUAGCACUCUUAGAGCAUCUCCAAUGCAAGGUUCUUAGUUCUUAAGAACUAAGAACUGAGUUCUUAACCAUUGGAGGGGAUGACAUGGAGUUCUUAGUUCUUAAAAAUAAGAACGGUUAUUAUAUAAAGAGUUUUACUUUUUAAGUUCUUAUAAACUCUUAUCAUAAAAAAAUAUUUUUC
rnacentral:lncRNA from 1 species